rnacentral:rRNA from 1 species
CAGUAGCCGCGGGAAUACGUAGGGUGCAAGCGUUAAUCGGAAUUACUGGGCGUAAAGCGUGCGCAGGCGGUUAUAUAAGACAGAUGUGAAAUCCCCGGGCUCAACCUGGGAACUGCAUUUGUGACUGUAUAGCUAGAGUACGGCAGAGGGGGAUGGAAUUCCGCGUGUAGCAGUGAAAUGCGUAGAUAUGCGGAGGAACACCGAUGGCGAAGGCAAUCCCCUGGGCCUGUACUGACGCUCAUGCACGAAAGCGUGGGGAGCAAACAGUAUUAGAUACCCCUGUAGUCCUGUCUCUUAUACC